rnacentral:rRNA from 1 species
UACGGGGGGGGCAAGCGUUGUUCGGAAUUACUGGGCGUAAAGGGCUCGUAGGCGGCCAACUAAGUCGGAUGUGAAAUCCCCAGGCUUAACCUGGGAACUGCAUCUGAUACUGGACGGCUUGAAUCCGGGAGAGGGAUGCAGAAUUCCAGGUGUAGCGGUGAAAUGCGUAGAUAUCUGGAGGAACACCGGUGGCGAAGGCGGCAUCCUGGACCAUUACUGACGCUGAGGAGCGAAAGCCAGGGGAGCAAACGGG